rnacentral:rRNA from 1 species
CCUACGGGAGGCAGCAGUCGAGAAUUUUUCACAAUGGGGGAAACCUUGAUGGAGCGACGCCGCGUGGAGGAUGAAGGUUUUCGGAUUGUAAACUCCUGUCACUGCAGAACAAGGGUGUGUUCGUUAAUAGCGAACGCAUUUGAUGGUAUGCGGAGAGGAAGGGACGGCUAACUCUGUGCCAGCAGCCGCGGUAAU